CCUGCACGGCUUCAAAUGUGGUUUUGAUUGUGUUUUUCCUUUGCUGCAAAUUAACAAUGUUGUAUAACAAGAUAUACUGAUGAAUGAACAGAAACAACAGGACAGUAGUAUGAACUGUCAAAUCCAAAGGUGACUUAAGUGAACCCUCUAGAUACUACAAAUAUAACAGGAAUGUACCUGAAACUACUAACCUUUUCCAUCUCACAAGUACACUCACUACUGUCCCAGUGAGUUAAUGGCUACUCAAAUUUAAUUGGGGCCGACUGAUUAGUCGGCUGCAACUAGAGUUUUGUGUAGAAACUACUUCAAUUUAAUUUGCUUGUAUAUACUUUAUUUGUGUGUGGUCACAAUGGUUCAGAGUUCUGAGUGGGCAGAGACACUUUUCAGUUUCCUUAUUCUAUUGUGAUGUCACUUCCUCUUUCAUGAGAUGGCUCAGUGCUGUUUAACUGAUGCUGCUCUUUCUGAAGCAGUGAAGCAAGAAAAUGAUCCAACUGCUCCCCGGGCUAACAGCAGCCUUACUCUGGUUGACAGGGCUGGCGCUCAGUAAUACAGUUAAUCAGUCUCCUGCUGAACUGACGAUAGACUCUGGAGGAUCCAUGCAGCUCAACUGCAGUCAUGCCAUCCCAUCUCAAUACACCAUACUGUGGUACCAUCGAGCACCAGGGGACAGCGCCCUGACUCUGAUCGGAUAUGUAUAUUUAAAGGACCCGACCGUAGAAACCUUAUAUAAGGAUCACUGCAGUUUGAGUGGAGAUGGAACUGAGGCAGCAUCUCUUCAGGUCCCCAAAGUGAACUCCAACGACAGUGGAGUGUAUUUCUGUGCAGUGAGUAGCACAAUGCUUGCUGGUCCUUUUUCUUCACUACAAAAACAGACAGAGCCUCUUCAGAAACAGAGACUUGUUAUUGCCUAUAAAGAACAGACCAACACACCUGCACAAAACCACUAAAAUAUUCUUUCAUUCCAUGCCAAAUAUCUGGCAUAGUAUGGCUGCUCUGUCAUAGAGAAGGGUUGCCAUUGGUUACUGGAAUGACUUUACACAUAUACCUGUAAGUGUUGAAGUUGUGAUGUCACUUCCUCCCUUUCUUGAGAGACCUUCGGAUUUCAGUGGUUGAAUUUUAUUUGCUUUCUCGGCAACACGGAGAAAUCAACAUGAUCAGACGUCUUCUAAUUUUCGCUGUCUUUUUGCUCUCAGUGAGAGGUGUGCGGAGUAAUGUGGCUAUAACCCCAAAAAUUCUCUGGGGUAAUUUGGGGGACCCGGCCGAUAUGAACUGCAGCCACACCUUGGGAGCAACUUACAAUCAGAUGUACUGGUACAAACAGAACCCACCUGAGGGUAUUCAGCUAAUAGUGUUUACAACUUCCUAUGCAAGCCCUGAAUUUGGGGAUUUUAGCAAAGACAGGUAUGUGGCAGACAAAGCUGUGGCUGAAAGAGGCUCUCUCAGGGUGAAGAAGCUGGAGGCAGAAGACAGCGGCACAUAUUUCUGUGCAGUCAGUGAACACGGCCCUGCAGACUCAUUGGCUGGGUGAACAUAAACCUCCCCGUGCCAGUCUCACUGUGACAGGGGAGGAGCAGACCUGAAACGAAGCCAAGAACACAAACGGCAGCGAGGCUCUCCUGCAGGGGGGUGUAAAGCUUCAUAAACGGACAGACAUGUCAUUUAAAAAAUUAACUUUUCUCCUGUCUCCUCCCCCACCC